GCUUCAAUUUCAAAGACCACUUGCAGAAGACAAAAGGCUUGCAGAGAGGCCCUGCCUUUCAUACACUUAUUCUGACAGUGUCUAUUCUAAUGCAGAGCAACAGAUCAGCAGAGCACACAGCCUCAUAAUAAAACAAGCUUCUUUGCUUCUAUGACAGUCUCAAACAAUGUCAAUACUACAACAAUGCUCCAGUUGAUGUGUAACCAUACAAAGGUAGUAGUUAUUACAAUAUAAAAAGAAGAGUUCAGAUUCUGUAAUUGCAAAUACACAAUCUGCAACUUUCCUAGCCAAACAAGGGGCCACAAAAUAGAGAAAAGAAGUAGGCAUUAGCUAAGCUAACGAGAACCUACCUAAGCCAAUAUGAAGGCCAGCAACAAAAUGUGCUGCUUUUGUCUCACGCCAGUCUUGAUACACUAUUAUUAUACCAGGUGUGGCCAAACUUUUUUGUAAUUUGCAUGUGGUUAUUUGUGAGCAUUUGGUGGGCCAGAAUGAAAUAGAAAGGCUUACUUACACUAUGGGCUGCAACAUGUUGCUUUUUGCUUUGAAAUAAAAAGGGAACACAUGACAGUUUCCCCGAACAAAACUACUUAGCAUGCAAGAGCCAAGCACGUUCCAACUCAUAUUUCCCCUGUAAUUAUUAUCAGUUUUAUUUCUUUUUCAUAAUGGCAUGCCUUGUGCAUUGUACAAAUGUAGCUUGCAAUAGGCUACUUCAUCUACUCUUUAGGAGGCAAGUUUCCGCUCCAAUCUUGUGCCCAAAGCAGGUGUAGCAGCUUACGCUUGAUUAGAGACCUUUCAUUGCAUUUGAUGCGCGUGAUGCCCAGAAAAACCAGUCUCUCUCAGAAAAAGAAAAAAAAGAAAGAAAGAAUAGUCGAGAAGCUCCUCGGUUAAAUUUUUAGACGUUCAGCACCUUUCUCUCAAAGGGGCUGAAGAGCAGCAGUUCAGUUGAGAGAACAAAAUAAAAGCCAGCUAAAACUAAAUCUAGUAUUACAAGCAGAUAAAUAUCUAGAGUGUUUUGACCAGUAUUUAUAUGUUUUAAGGUUGCCAUUCUAGCUUACUGCCAUGACAAACACAAGCAGAAGUCCCGGGAGUAGCAUGCAUGACUGAUUUUUCACACGAAAGUCCGGUGAAAAAUGCAGUCUAAUCAGUCUUGUAUAUUGCUUAUUCCAUAUUAUAACAGUGUAAAUAAAAAAACUAAGAGCAUGCAGCCAUAGAAAGCAAUAAGAGGCCUACACAGCUUCGCUGAGCACAGUGUCACAAGAUAUCACCGUACAAAUUUCAGUUCGCGGCUGCAGAGUAGUAUUCUGGCAAAAUGGCAAUGCUAGGAUGUACAUCCAGCAGAUAAAACUCGAUUAAAACUCAAAGCAAUUAAUUUAUGGUGCAACAAUUACGCAAUCUUUUUUUCUAUUUUCUGGAUAAGUCUGGGUGCCCCUGGGAGCCUGGACCUAGACUGCAAACGGGCUCUCACACUACUGCAUGACCACGCGAAGAUAUCAGCACAAAAAUGCGGUAGUUAUCGGG
rnacentral:lncRNA from 1 species